UUAAGUUCAUGUAUCUACCCCAAAUUGAACAAUUGUUUUGUCCUUAUUCAUUUUAAAUCAUAUAUACUUGAUGAGUAUUUUCCGAUAUUAAGAUUUCUAACUAGGAUAUGUACUAUGCAAAUAAUUUCUUAAAGUACAGUCUAUCACUUUUAACUGGUUUCCAGAUUGAAUGUAAACUAUCCAACCGGAAAUAUGUUCAAGCUGCAUGAUUGUGCAGUCUGCCAAUUGGAGAUGAAACCUGGUGAGGGUGUCUCUGUUCAUGGCAACAUGCCGAAGCAUCAUUCACGGGUUAACCCUGGGGCGGUCCUUUCCUCUGUUCAUCCUGCCAAGUGAAAAAGGUGGCAAUGGAAGGGAAGCUGCAUUUGUGAAAUUCUCCAUAUACAGUCCAGCCUGCCCAAGUAGCCUUCCUCAAUGGUUUUGUAUACUUCGUCAGACAAGCUAAUAUUACUAACAGUGUUAACUUAUAAAGCAGACUUGUCAAGAUCAUCCAUCAGUCACUGGUAAACAGACUUAAGGACUGUUCUCUAACUCAUCUGAACUUGGAAGAUCAAAUUGGACGUCAGUGCAGAUGAUUAAAAUUUGUGGAAUCAUUCAUGUGAAGCACCACAUUUAUUUUGUUGAAGGUGCACUCUAUUUGUGCGAAGAAACAAGACAGGAUCCCAGGUUCAAAUCAACCAGUGGCCUUAAGGUGUGUAUAAGUGCUCUUGACAUCGGUUAUGACUUGUCAGGAACCCAGGCUCAGUCCAUUUGUCAAUACCAGUCAUGGAGACAUUUUUAGCUUGAGCCUAGGCUUUUCUCAUGUCACUCUGUGAUAAAUGACUCAAUCUCUUAUGUGAUGGUUUUUCUCUUGUUCA